GAUGAAGAACGCAGCGAAAUGCGAUACUUGGUGUGAAUUGCAGAAUCCCGUGAUCCAUCGAGUCUUUGAACGCAAGUUGCGCCCGAAGCCAUUAGGCCGAGGGCACGCCUGCCUGGGCGUCACACGUCGUUGCCCCCCCAUCUACUCCUUCGGGAUUGCGGGGGGCGGAUGAUGGCCUCCCGUGCGCCUCGUCGCGCGGUUGGCAUAAAUGCCAAGUCCUCGGCGACGCACGCCACGACAAUCGGUGGUUGCGAAACCUCGGUUGCCCGUCGUGUGCGGUCGUCGCGCAUCGAGGGCUCGAAAAAAUUGCCGGGCUCCGGCUCGGCUUUCAACGCGACCCCAGGUCAGGCGGGGUUACCCGCUGAAUUUAAGCAUAUCAAUAAGCGGAGGA
rnacentral:misc_RNA from 1 species